rfam:Ixodes scapularis strain Wikel colony gcontig_1107729188234, whole genome shotgun sequence.
GCUCAGUUGGUAGAGCGCUCCACUUGUAAUGGAGAGGUCCCGGGUUCGAUACCCGGACCAGGCG